GAGGUGCUUGCACCUGAUUGAUUUUGGUCGCCAACGAGUGGCGGACGGGUGAGUAACACGUAGGUAACCUGCCCAGAAGCGGGGGACAACAUUUGGAAACAGAUGCUAAUACCGCAUAACAACGUUGUUCGCAUGAACAACGCUUAAAAGAUGGCUUCUCGCUAUCACUUCUGGAUGGACCUGCGGUGCAUUAGCUUGUUGGUGGGGUAAUGGCCUACCAAGGCGAUGAUGCAUAGCCGAGUUGAGAGACUGAUCGGCCACAAUGGGACUGAGACACGGCCCAUACUCCUACGGGAGGCAGCAGUAGGGAAUCUUCCACAAUGGGCGCAAGCCUGAUGGAGCAACACCGCGUGAGUGAAGAAGGGUUUCGGCUCGUAAAGCUCUGUUGUUAAAGAAGAACACGUAUGAGAGUAACUGUUCAUACGUUGACGGUAUUUAACCAGAAAGUCACGGCUAACUACGUGCCAGCAGCCGCGGUAAUACGUAGGUGGCAAGCGUUAUCCGGAUUUAUUGGGCGUAAAGAGAGUGCAGGCGGUUUUCUAAGUCUGAUGUGAAAGCCUUCGGCUUAACCGGAGAAGUGCAUCGGAAACUGGAUAACUUGAGUGCAGAAGAGGGUAGUGGAACUCCAUGUGUAGCGGUGGAAUGCGUAGAUAUAUGGAAGAACACCAGUGGCGAAGGCGGCUACCUGGUCUGCAACUGACGCUGAGACUCGAAAGCAUGGGUAGCGAACAGGAUUAGAUACCCUGGUAGUCCAUGCCGUAAACGAUGAGUGCUAGGUGUUGGAGGGUUUCCGCCCUUCAGUGCCGGAGCUAACGCAUUAAGCACUCCGCCUGGGGAGUACGACCGCAAGGUUGAAACUCAAAGGAAUUGACGGGGGCCCGCACAAGCGGUGGAGCAUGUGGUUUAAUUCGAAGCUACGCGAAGAACCUUACCAGGUCUUGACAUCUUGCGCCAACCCUAGAGAUAGGGCGUUUCCUUCGGGAACGCAAUGACAGGUGGUGCAUGGUCGUCGUCAGCUCGUGUCGUGAGAUGUUGGGUUAAGUCCCGCAACGAGCGCAACCCUUGUUACUAGUUGCCAGCAUUAAGUUGGGCACUCUAGUGAGACUGCCCGG
rnacentral:rRNA from 2 species